rnacentral:rRNA from 1 species
CCUACGGGAGGCAGCAGCCGCGGUAUAUUGCGCAAUGGAGGAAACUCUGACGCAGUAACGCCGCGUGGGGGAAGAAGACCUUCGGGUUGUAAACCUCUUUUUGUAGAGACGAGUGAGGACGGUAUCUAUAGAAUAAGUCUCGGCUAACUACGUGCCAGCAGCCGCGCUAAU